rnacentral:rRNA from 1 species
GACAAACGCUGGCGGCGUGCUUAACACAUGCAAGUCGAACGGAAAGGCCCUGCUUUUGUGGGGUGCUCGAGUGGCGAACGGGUGAGUAACACGUGAGUAACCUGCCCUUGACUUUGGGAUAACUUCAGGAAACUGGGGCUAAUACCGGAUAGGAGCUCCUGCUGCAUGGUGGGGGUUGGAAAGUUUCGGCGGUUGGGGAUGGACUCGCGGCUUAUCAGCUUGUUGGUGGGGUAGUGGCUUACCAAGGCUUUGACGGGUAGCCGGCCUGAGAGGGUGACCGGCCACAUUGGGACUGAGAUACGGCCCAGACUCCUACGGGAGGCAGCAGUGGGGAAUAUUGCACAAUGGGCGGAAGCCUGAUGCAGCAACGCCGCGUGCGGGAUGACGGCCUUCGGGUUGUAAACCGCUUUCGCCUGUGACGAAGCGUGAGUGACGGUAAUGGGUAAAGAAGCACCGGCUAACUACGUGCCAGCAGCCGCGGUGAUACGUAGGGUGCGAGCGUUGUCCGGAUUUAUUGGGCGUAAAGGGCUCGUAGGUGGUUGAUCGCGUCGGAAGUGUAAUCUUGGGGCUUAACCCUGAGCGUGCUUUCGAUACGGGUUGACUUGAGGAAAGUAGGGGAGAAUGGAAUCUCCUGGUGGAGCGGGUGGAAUGCGCAGAUAUCAGGAAGGAACACCAGUGCGCGCAAUGUCUGUUCUCUGGGCCUUUUCCUGACGCUGAAGGAGCGAAAGCGUGGGGAGCGAACAGGCUUAGAUACCCUGGUAGUCCACGCUGUAAACGGUGGGUACUAGGUGUGGGGUCCAUUCCACGGGUUCCGUGCCGUAGCUAACGCUUUAAGUACCCCGCCUGGGGAGUACGGCCGCAAGGCUAAAACUCAAAGGAAUUGACGGGGCCCCGCACAAGCGGCGGAGCAUGCGGAUUAAUUCGAUGCAACGCGUAGAACCUUACCUGGAUUUGACAUGGAUCGGGAGUGCUCAGAGAUGGGUGUGCCUCUUUUGGGGUCGGUUCACAGGUGGUGCAUGCCUGUCGUCAGCUCGUGUCGUGAGAUGUUGGGUUAAGUCCCGCAACGAGCGCAACCCUUGUUCACUGUUGCCAGCACGUUAUGGUGGGGACUCAGUGGAGACCGCCGGGGUCAACUCGGAGGAAGGUGGGGAUGACGUCAAGUCACCAUGCCCCUUAUGUCCAGGGCUUCACGCAUGCUACAAUGGCUGGUACAGAGAGUGGCGAGCCUGUGAGGGUGAGCGAAUCUCGGAAAGCCGGUCUCAGUUCGGAUUGGGGUCUGCAACUCGACCUCAUGAAGUCGGAGUCGCUAGUAAUCGCAGAUCAGCAACGCUGCGGUGAAUACGUUCCCGGGGCU